GAGGACAGGGAAGAAACCUCUUUCUCCAGGAACAGGGACCUGCAUAAGCAAAGACAGGGAGGCAAAGGCAGCCCGCGCAUGUGGGAAACACGUAAGCCGGUCUGGCUAAGAAGCAAGGUGCAAAAAUAGGUCAGAGCAAAACCAUGUGAAAAACUAACGAGCUUGAGCUUCAUUCUUUUGUCACUGGGGUGGAGAAAUCCCGACCAGAUUAAUGUUGUCAGAACGUGACUGCGGCAGCAGCUGGGAGCAUGAGAGGGGCCAGGAGGCCUGUUUGAGGUCGUGGCCACGGCACGGCACGGCACGGCACGGGCAAAAGGAGCGGGCGAGGGCAAGGGGCAGAGGGGAGGGGGCUGGCUCUGCAGGUCUCCGUCAGCAACAGGAGGGAGAGGGAGGGGCAGGGUGGCUUCUGGGUUCCUGGCUGGCUUGGUGACUGGCUGGAUGGUGGGGCCACCAAGAGAGGGAACACUCAGAUCCUCCCCAAGGCGGAGCCUGGGGACACACAGAUGCUGGCACGUGGUGGGCAGAGGCCUGGGACAGGAGUCAUCAGCUUGGAGAUGGCAGUGAAACCAUGAGUGAGAUUGCCAGGAAACACCCGGAGAAAGAGAAGAAAGGACAGGUGGCAUCCUGUGGGAGGCUGGCAUCAGAGGAGCAGCCACAGGGGUGAGUUUUUCUCAGUGGACCCCUGACCUGUCAGCCUAUUUCUCUCCUUUCCUGAGAAACCCCGGGGCGGGCAGUCUCCAUGGCAGCCUCAGCUCUCCUCGCCAGCCUGUGCCUCAUUUUCCCCCCGUGAUGCGCCUCUGAUCCUAGCACCCUUUUGAAACUGCUCUCUUGCUGGUCACAGUGCUUUCCUCAGAACUAUUAAUAAAUUCAGGGGCCUUUCCUCAGGUCACAAGCUCCCCCCAAGUCUUAGACCUUGCAGAUCCACCUCUACGUCCCUUGCACUCCCUCCUCCCUGAUGCUAGGACACUGUGACCUUGGCGCUGCCUCUCACCUCCCUGCCACCCCGCUCACCUUUUACUCCCACAGUUCUGUCCCCAGCAGCCCGCAGUGCUCUUAGCCCCCUGCAGCCUCCACCUGCCUGCCUGUGAGGGGCCCUCAUGUCUCCUGCCCACCCCUCCCCACCUCUGAGCCCACUGCCCAUGUCACCCUGUGCAUUUGGCAGUCACCCUGGCUGAAAUGGCACUUCCUGCACUGACUCCCGCUUGCACUUCCUCUCAGCCCCUUCCUCAUUCCUGCUCAUGGAACUUCCGUGCUCCCAGACCCGAAGGUUGAAAUUUCCAUCAUCUCCAUUUAUUUAUACAUUUGCUCACCAUAGGGAUCAUUUAGGGGCAGCUGACUAAUUGCCAAUACAAUUUUAGAUAUACGGGGAAUAAGUCUGAAGGGCAUUGCUCACGGCCAUUAAGCAGCAUGGACUUUAAGGUCCCUUUAUUGUGCACUGAAAUCAUCUGGAGAGGUUUUGACAAUGGAGGUUUCUGGGCAUCACCCCAUCUGCAAAAUCAGAUUCUCGGGGUGGGACCAGGAAUGUGCUGUUGAAGGCUCUCAGGUGAGGUUGGUGCAGGUGGUUUUCAGGCCACUCACGGGGCAUGCCGCCUCAGGGUCAGCCCUGACAACCGCUCAGUCCCUCCACCCACACCCGACCGGACACCAGGUUCUCACCAACACUGUCCUAACGGAGUCUCGCACGUGGGGACCCGGGCUCCAUUCUAAGGCCUUCCCCCCACUUCAGUCCUUGUUAACACUCGUCUUCAUUCCCGACAGACUCACAUCCAGGCCGCCCCCUCCGAUCCACGCUUCUCUGCACUCUCUCCCCCGCCACCAGGCUCAGCUUCCCCCUUUCAGGAUCUUAGACCUGCUGGCGACUUCUUUGGCCACUGCUGGCUCUCAUGCUGAAUCCAACCACACACACGAAGAGUCGCAGCUGAGGAUGUGAAAAAUCCGUGUGGGACCUGCAAGGCUCUCAGACAGGGCAAAGGGCCCACUUAGGAAGAAGUGGCCUUUCACUGGGGUGACCGGGGGCAGGCAGUAGGGUGGUGGGGACAUAAGAGAUGUGUAUGUAACAAAGGACACACCAGGUUAGCAGCACAAAGGGCCUGGCCACCUGAAUGUCGUAUGACCAGUCUCGUCUCCCAUCCAGAGAUGGCCAAUCCUGAGUCCCAGCCAGACUCUUGGUCUCCCGGAGAGACCCGUGGUCUGUCCCGCCGUCCCCGGGCACCCAGGAGUUUGGUGUGAGCAGACAGACUGGGCGAACGUGGUAGGAACAGAAUUGGGGUUCUCAGGGAGGUUUUUUUCCACUUAAAACUCUUUUCGUCGCCUACGUCUCCAGACAUUUAAAGACUUCUGAGCUAUUUUCAGACCUACUAUGAAAAGAACUGAGGUGUUAGCAGUCAGACACCCAACUAACUGUUUCCUAAGAGGAGAGCUGGCAUGACUCACUUUUGAUCUGUCAGCUUCCUAUCGAUUUUUUCUGGCAAACUUUGUGGGUCUUGCCGGGGCCGAAUUAUAACCCACUGUCUCCAGGUUGGUCACUUCAAAGGCCAUCGUGGGUUUGGCGUCUGCAUUUCUUUUUGUGAAAAAUGUGGGAGGAGAGGAGGGAAACCGCAAUGCACAAGACCAAGGGUGUCCCCGGGCUUUCCCUCCGCCUGCUAGAGAGAAGCCAGGCAGCCUCCUCUGCGCCUCUCCUGGAUUGGAGAUUUGAGGACCGGCUCCGGGAACCGGCGCUGGUGGGAACUGACAGAGCCCAGGAGGAACCCGGUUCCACUGUGGCCUUCACGCUGCCCUGGGAACCUGGGAGCCAGUGGUUUGAGUUUCAGAAGGAGGAUGGUGAGGUCUUAUGCACAGUGUUUAAAUAUAUUGCUAUGUAAUUUUCCAAUUUUAAAACAUGAGAUCACCCAUUAUUCAAGUAGCUUCUACAUUUUAAAAAAAGCCCUUGUGUUGUGUGUGUUUGUUUUAAAGCCUUUUCGUGCUAAAAAAAAAUUCCAGUCGAACCAAAAUAUCCUACUGACGUUCCCAUUUACCUGAAUUCCCCUUCCCAAUGGGAACGUGUGAAUGUGUGUCAAAGCUUCAGAACAGCAAGACGCUGCUGAGCCUGAGGGACUCGUUUGUGCUGAUAUUUCAGGGACGAGCUCGAUGCCUGGAAACUGGAAUGUGCAGAUGUCACAUAUUCAGAGAGACUGAAGUGCUGGCCUCAGCAGACAAUGGCAGGAGAGGAACCCAGGGGCAGAACUGCGUCAGCCAGGAGCCAUUGUUCAGCUGGGGGCAAGGCCGUGGCCACACCCUGCGCUGGCUCAUGCGUGGCCGCCAGUGCUCUCAUGCGGGUGCACCUCAGACAGCCCCUCAGGAGCAGGUAAGGAAUCUGAAGCAGAGCGAGGUUAGAGAACUAGCCCAAGGCCACACGUAACAGCUGUCUGCUGGAGAAGGCCAUUGUAAAGAAGUGCCAGCCACAGAGCUGAUGCUCCACAGGUGGCUUCCUGUUGCCAGGUCAGGAGAACUCACCAGGUAAGUUAGUGAGGUGGGUGAUAUCUUCAUGUGGCCUGGGGACCUUGUCCAAGGCCAUCCAACUGGCAAGUGGCAGAGCUGGGCUCUAGCUCACUUCUCCGAGGCCAACAGUCGUAACCUCUAUAAUAUAAAUAACACAAACAUAAAGUUUGCUUUAAAGUCAGGUGGAAACUCAGCAGUUACUGAGCACAUUGAUUUGUUCAACCCUAAUUUAUCUCAUUUAUUGAGCAUCUACUAUGUGUCAUAGCAGAAUCUCCUCCUUGAAGUUUCUCCUCUCUUGGCUUCUGGUGCCACCUCAUACCUCCUUGCUUGUUGUCAAAUCUGUUGGCCAUUCCUCCUGCUUCAGCUAUCCCCUAGAAUUUGAUCCUUUGUCGCUUUUUGUCCCCUCACUUAGCACAGUGUCCUUGGUCUUCAUUUCCAGGUCUGCUCUCCAUUCAGCUCCACAUUCCUGUUUUCAGUGGCGCCCUGGACACCUAACUCCUGGGUGUCUCAUCGUCAUCUAAAACCGAACAUGUCCAGAUCUGAACUCACUAUCCUACUCCUUGAACCUGCUCCUAUUCCAGUGAGCUGUACCACACUGUCUUUGGGUGGCCCAAGCUGAGUCCUCAGUUUUCCUGAAUGUUUGCUGAGUGAGUGUUAGCGACUAUGACAUUUCCAGAAAUGCUAGAUCAAACCACCAAGGUGCUUUACUUGAGGCCCUCAACUUUUAUGUCAUGAUUAUAGUGAAAGAGUAGGAACAAGGACAAAGUAGGAUGUCUGGCUUCUCCAUCUGAAUGUGCAGUUAAGCUGACUAUGAAUUUCUUACCAUUAAACUCAUUCCACAAUUUUGCAGUUUAGGAGUGUUACACAUCAUACCAUUUUCACCAUCUUUGUGUGGUGAUUGUUGGUCUGUCAUGAAUCCUUGGAUUUGGCAUAGUAAUCACACUAAUAACAAAUUUAUAAAAUAAAAAUAGAACUGGUGGCAACAGAUAUAUUAUUGCUCUAACUUUGCUGCAUUCAAGUUAAUUUUUUAUUUUUUCAACACAUCAAUUGAAUAUUGUAUUUUAUAAAGUACUUUUCAGUACUGUGGUUGGUUUCUUGUUAUGUAGGAAACCCCGAGACUAUUCUGAGAAACAUAGAAAUCCCUCAAUUUUCAUACAGAUUUCUGGACCAUUGAUUACAGGAAUUAUAGGAACAAAAAUUAGACUGUCUCAUACCCAAAGCAAGAAAAGGACUACAUUUUUCUUAUUUUCGUGAAGCAGAUGUGAGGCAUCAGUCUAUUUUGUAUGAAUCAAAUAGUCUAGACAUGCUUUCUGAAGAACCCCAGAGAUGUGACCAUUUUCACUCCGUAAUGACAAUAAAGAAGCUCAUGUUUCUCCCUCUAGAAAUGAGGGCAUAUUCACUCAGGCCUCUUAAUGUAGUUGGAUGCAGGAAAUACAGCAGAAUGUGUCACCUAAACUUUCACAUUCAAUUGGAUAAUUAUUUGUUCAAGGGCAAAAUAAAUGCUUCCCAAGGUUUCAGGUUAUUGGAUACUAAGUAAACUAACUCAGGUUUGGGAGAUAGCACAGGUAUUUUGUGAACGUCAGUUUGUGAAAGCGGUUUUCAAUGCAGUUAUCUGCCUGUGUCUUUGUUUGUUCAUUCAUUCGUUUAUUUUCCCAUCCACCCUUCCAGCAAACACUGAAUGACAUCGGAGACACAGUGAUGAUGAGCAAAACACAUGCAAUCUAUGUCCGCAUGGAGACAAGCAAAGGCAUUUAGCACUUAAAAAUUGGGUUUCUAAGACUUCUUAACCAUUGGCUUAGAUUCAAAAUUUAAAUCACAUUUCUUUUACCCGUGGUUCAUUCGUCCUUUAUUCAAGGAAUGUUUAUUAAGCAUUGUUAUGCUGGGGCCUGUGCUGGUGCUACAGAGGCAAGGAGAACAUGGGCACCGUGAUUUAAGGGGACCAGCCCGGAGCAGAGACCAGGUGAGGGGCUGCUGCAGUAGUCCAGCAGGAGAUAGUGAGGCCUGAAGGACAGUGGAGGGAGAAUAGAGAUGAGGACACAGAUUCAAGAACGAUCUGGAAGCCCAAACCGGCAGAGACAGAGAGAGCGGUGUGCGGUGAAAGACAAUGAAGAUUCCAGGAGGACGCCCAAGCUUCUAGCAUUGGUGACUGGAUGGAAGAUGGCGGCACCAACUGGACAGAAAAUACAAAGGGGAACAGUGUUUGGUCAUGGUGGGCUUGAGGCAUAUGUGGGACACUAAGAAUGCCAGUGCUCUUCUCCAUUUCCUGUCGUCACAAGCCUCCAGAUCCAGUUCACGUAUCUCUUCCGUGAAGCCGCCUUCGAUCCCUACGACUGCAGGGCUUUUUAAGUAUCUUUCUUAUUGCAAUCCCCACACUAGGGAUCCAUGUUCUGCACCAGGCUGUAAGCACCGGCUCUUGGGCAGGAAUCAGGCUGCCUUUGUUUCUCCACACUUAGCAUAGAUGCUGGAACAUAGUUUGUAUGGUUUCUAGCACCCAUUAGAUUUCUGUGAAAGUGAAAUAAUUUUACAUUAAAAAUUUUAAAGACAUUCUGCUUGAACUUCUGUUAACGGCCUGUCACAUUCAAAUUCAAAUCAUACCCCAAAUUACUACUUACUUGUUACAGCGAUUCAUUUAUCCUCAAAAUCCAAAAGUCUUGCUGAAACUUUCUAAGGCCCAGGUUCAUUAGUUCAUUACUAUCAGGCUCUAAUAUCAGAUACAAUUUUCAAAGACCGCAUCCUAAGCAUGCAAACCAAUGUAUGGUCAUCGGCUUUUAAAAUAAACUUCUGUAUACUUUAUGAAAGGUCAACAGGGGAUGAAUUCAUGAAUUUUCACAUUGACUCAUUAAUAAUGAAACAGUUCUACAUUUCAGAUUCUUCAGUGUCUCUUGUUUUUUAACAUCAAAGACUUCUGUUCCAAGUGCUAUUAUGUCUUUUCAUUUGAAUAUUUUUGCCAAGAAUACUUUCUUUCUAAAUAGGAAAGAAAGCUGUCAUGGAAUAAAUGGAAAGGCUGAAAACUGCACAGCUGCAGGAUUGCCCCCAUCUGCAUGCUGUGCAGACACUGAAACAUUAGAAAGAGAAUAUUUUAAAGCUGAGAGCUUUAGUAUCAGGUUCUAUUUAGCUUUCACUCAACUAAUUGCAGUUCACCUUGGAAAAUUCUAUAAAAAUUUAAAAGACAACUGGUUGCUUGGUUUGAACAUGGGCAGGCACUGGAUUUUCUACUAGAAAAAUUGUGAACUUACUAGCUCUUAGUGCUAUCUCAUAAAAUGGAAUAGACUUACUUUUCUGUUCAGGAUAUGUAGAGUAUGACAUUAUUUUGUAAUUUUGGGUUAAAAUUGUCAUUUGUAUCAUGCUUUGAAAAACUAUUUCCGUUUGUUCUUUUUUUUUUUUUCUCCCCUUCAUAUCUUUCUCUUUCCAUUGAGAACAUGAAGUGGCAUAUGAAUAGAAAAAUAAAAGUGGAAAAAUACAGAGAGGUAAAUGUUUUGUAAGGGAUUCCUGACCUGUUGGCUGACUUGGGGCUGGAAGGUGUGUGCCUGGUCAGCCUGAAUCAGUUUUUGUAUAAAUGUGGUUUGAACAGGUCAUGAGGCCAGGAAGGGCAAGGGCCACGGGCAUUAUAGUGUUUUCUAGCUUGGCUCCUUCCAGAAGAGGAAGAACAGGAGUUAUCUCAGUCUUCAGCAACCUUACAUCCUAGGGCUCCCCUUUCCUCAGGUGGUAAUACCCCAAUAUGGAAGAUUCCAACAGGGUUCUAGGUCCAGGAGCUGAACAACAAAUCACCUUGAGACAUAUUACCAUAUUUAACACUCAGAAGAACCCUACAAGAGGAUAAAAAGAUUUCUCAUGAUAGGCUAGAUCUUUUUAAGUACAGUGGCAGCACUCAUAUCUCCAGAUAUCUCCUUUUAAAAAAUAUUUUCAGUUUUAUAAAUAUAAGAUCAGGGCAGUAUAUAUAGAUCAUAGAAUUCUAUAAAGCUAUUAAAAUAUAAACUUGAUUUUGAACUUCCCUGCAACAAAGUAAGUUGGGACCAAGUCAAUUACAUGAUUCAUAUUUGUAAGGACCAAGAACGCUAAAACUUUAGCGAAACAAAACUUUAGAAAUGGGUCUUCACAAAUGAGGCAAUAGAUGCUGGGCUUAAUGAUAUCUCUACAAUAGAAAUAAUGGUCUUAAAAAGAGGAGGGCGGAAAGUUUAGCUUAACAUGAUGCUAUGAUUUGGAUGUGGUUUGUCAUGUUGAAAUUUAAUUGCCAGGGUAAAGGUGUUGGGAAGUGGCAACUUUGAGAGGUGAUUAGGUAAUUGAGAUAGAUUAAUGUCUUUCUCUUGAGACUGGGUUAGUUCUCCCAGGAUGGAACCAGUUGUCUAGAGUGGGCUGUUCUCAUGUUUUGCCCAUUUUCGCACAUGCCCACCCACCUUUCACUUCUCUGUUAUGUUGUGAUGCAGCACGAGGCCCUCACCAGAAGCGACCAGAUUCCGAUGAAACACUUAACUUCCAGCAUGCAGAACCAUUUGUGGCUGUGUAAGGUUGAGGUUACAGGAAAUCUGACUUCUGCAUAAGCUACACAUAUAGCUAUGUCUUCAAGUGGGCUGUUGGAGAACAUCAGAGGACUCAAUGAUUAAAUCAUUUAUUGAGAUUUUUCUGUGGACCAAGCACAGCAGAAGUAGAGAGAUGAACAGAACAUUCUACCUCCCACAAAGAGACUGCAAUCUAGCUGGCAAGACAGGUCCAUGCACAGCUAACUCACUGAAGGAUGAGUAAGCUGAGAAAAUGGGAAACAGGAUAGGGGAGAAAGGAAACCUCAUGAGCAGAAAUGUACAAGGCACACGAAUGCUUGGCAUCUCUGCAAAUCAGUGUGGCAUACUGCUCAGAUUUUAGAAGAGUCCACGUGGGAAGAGGAACAGAAGAUGAGGCAAGAAGGAGGGCAAGGCCAGAUAGCCGAGGGCCUUAAGCAUGUUGUUACAAACUUUCUGUGACCAGAAAGAAAUGCUAGAUAAUUUUGAGCAUAAAGAGUGACAUGAUCAUACAUGAGCUUCAGAAAAAUUUCUCCAGCAGCAGGUAUAGAAAAUACACUACCACGGGACAAAAGUAGAGGCAGGAAGACGCAUCAACAGAGUAUAGCAACAGUCUAGUGAGAAGAUAAAACUUGGACCAGGACAAUGGGAGUAGAGAUUGGAAAGAAGAAAAGGAUUUGAGAGAUCUGAAAGUAGAAUUGGUAGGGCUUGCUUUGUUGACUGACUGAUUAUGAAGAUCAGGAAAAAGGAAGAGUUAAGGAUGAUUCUGGCUUCAAGCUUGGGUAAUGGGGUAGACAUUGAUACUAUUAAUAAGGUAGAGUAGUUAAUGAAAUUUAUUUUAGCCUUGUUGAGUUUGACAUAUGAUUAAGGCAUCAAG